rnacentral:rRNA from 1 species
AACGUAGGAGGCGAGCGUUAUCCGGAUUUACUGAGCGUAAAGGGCAAGUAGGCGGUGGCCAAAGUUGGGCGUGACAUCUCCCGGCUCAACUGGGAGGGGUCGUUCAAAACUAGGUCACUAGAGGGCAGGAGAGGGAAGCGGAAUUCCUAGUGUAGCGGUGGAAUGCUCAGAUAUUAGGAAGAACACCAGUGGCGAAGGCGGCUUCCUGGCCUGUACCUGACGCUGGGAGGCGAAAGCUAGGGUAGCAAACGGGAUUAGAUACCUGCGUAGUCCCUGAGCGGG